GGAAUAUUGGACAAUGGGCGAAAGCCUGAUCCAGCCAUGCCGCGUGUGUGAAGAAGGUCUUCGGAUUGUAAAGCACUUUAAGUUGGGAGGAAGGGCAUUAACCUAAUACGUUAGUGUUUUGACGUUACCGACAGAAUCAGCACCUGCUAACUCUGUGCCAGCAGCCGCGGUAAUACAAAUGCUGCAAGCGUUAAUCGGUAUUACUGGGCGUAAAGCGCGCGUAGGUGGGUCGUUAAGUUGGAUGUGAAAUCCCCGGGCUCAACCUGGGAACUGCAUUCAAAACUGUCGAGCUAGAGUAUGGUAGAGGGUGGUGGAAUUUCCUGUGUAGCGGUGAAAUGCGUAGAUAUAGGAAGGAACACCAGUGGCGAAGGCGACCACCUGGACUGAUACUGACACUGAGGUGCGAAAGCGUGGGGAGCAAAC
rnacentral:rRNA from 1 species